AGUGAGACAGGGACACUCGAAAUGCACGAUGGCUCAGUACAGAACACAACUGUGUCCCCAGGACUCCUACGAACCAUUCCAAGAUUAUCUGGGAUUCAGUGACAUAGCAUGGAACAAGGAUCUGGUCUCUAAUCUCACACACCUCAUGACUUGUUCGCCAUCGUUCCAUGACGACAACAGCAGUGAUGGCGAAUUUUUUGGUUCUCGAAGUGUUGGCAUUCAAAGAACGGAAACGAGCUGCCAAAAAAGCCAAGCAAAAGAAAUUGUGCGUUUUCUGUAAAAACAACGGAGAAACUGUUGCCAUCUACUCAAGCCAUGUGUUGAAGGAUGAAGAAGGGCGGGUCUGCUGCCCUAUCCUCCGUAAGUACACGUGCCCUCUCUGUGGGGUCUCUGGGGACAACGCCCACACGAUCCGCUAUUGUCCGAAAAAUGAUGGUGAACUUUCCGCACCCAGCCUCACGAACCUCCAUACAAGACGCUUGACAAAUGGAAAACGGCGCCGAGGGAGCGACAGUGAAAGCAGCAACUGAAAAAAAAAACCCACCAAAAGCAGCCGCUCAACAUCGCAAUCUCGCAACUAUAUCUCGAUAUUAAGUCGUAUACUGUGGACUGUGAUUUCUGACUCUUUGACCAAAUUUUUAUAGAGAUCCUUGAUGACCAUACAAUGUUUUAAUUAGUUGUGACUUUUAUUCAACAAAAGUUGUAUCUUAGAUUUUGAUAAGAUUUUUUAUGUAAAUUUUGAUUUUAAUCUUUACGUAUCCCAGUUAUUGAGAUGGUGCUGAAAAAAAAUUGUACAGUAAAUGAAGUUGUGAUUUUAGAUGAAUAUAUUUAUAAUAAUCAAUUUUUUAAUUAAUGAUUUACUUAAUUGUAGUCAUUCGCUGAUUUUGUACAGAUUAGUUUUAGAAUUUAUUAACAUUUGUUUAGUGCUUUAACCCCACAGAUGUUUCCAUGUAAAUAAAUUGUUAUCACAGUU
rnacentral:misc_RNA from 1 species